rnacentral:rRNA from 1 species
UACGGGGGGGAGCAAGCGUUGUUCGGAUUUACUGGGCGUAAAGGGCGCGUAGGCGGUCGUGACAAGUCACUUGUGAAAUCUCCGGGCUUAACUCGGAACGGUCAAGUGAUACUGUCGGACUAGAGUACAGAAGGGGCAACUGGAAUUCUCGGUGUAGCGGUGAAAUGCGUAGAGAUCCGGAAGAACACCGGUGGCGAAGGCGGCCUGCUGGGCAGUUGCUGACACUGAGGCGCGACAGCGUGGGGGAGCAAACAGG